CACGUAGGCACCAAGCGUUGUCCGGAUUUACUGGGCGUAAAGGGCUCGUAGGUGGCCAACUAAGUCAGACGUGAAAUCCCUCGGCUUAACCGGGGAACUGCGUCUGAUACUGGAUGGCUUGAGUGUGGGAGAGGGAUGCGGAAUUCCAGGUGUAGCGGUGAAAUGCGUAGAUAUCUGGAGGAACACCGGUGGCGAAGGCGGCAUCCUGGACCAUACUGACACUGAAUAGCGAAAGCCAGGGGAGCAAACGGG
rnacentral:rRNA from 1 species